GAUCCAGACUUUGAUUCUGGCUCAGGAUGAACGCUAGCUACAGGCUUAACACAUGCAAGUCGAGGGGAAACGACAUCGAAAGCUUGCUUUUGAUGGGCGUCGACCGGCGCACGGGUGAGUAACGCGUAUCCAACCUGCCCACCACUUGGGGAUAACCUUGCGAAAGUAAGACUAAUACCCAAUGAUAUCUCUAGAAGACAUCUGAAAGGGAUUAAAGAUUUAUCGGUGAUGGAUGGGGAUGCGUCUGAUUAGCUUGUUGGCGGGGUAACGGCCCACCAAGGCUACGAUCAGUAGGGGUUCUGAGAGGAAGGUCCCCCACAUUGGAACUGAGACACGGUCCAAACUCCUACGGGAGGCAGCAGUGAGGAAUAUUGGUCAAUGGGCGAGAGCCUGAACCAGCCAAGUAGCGUGCAGGAUGACGGCCCUAUGGGUUGUAAACUGCUUUUAU
rnacentral:rRNA from 1 species